AGAGCUGAGUUUCCAAACACUGUGCCAGGAGCUGGAUGAAGAGGAGCUGAGGAAAGUCAUGCCUCACCCAGUGACACCAGCAGGCCCCUGCCUGGCCUGUGGUGACAGAGACUGAUGAGGAAUACACUGAUCAGGGUCAAUGUCAGGGCUGGGGCAGUCAUAAACCCAGGGUCCAACCCCCAGCCCCAGACCCUGCCCUCUACGUCCUUGAAGCUCCAUCCCUGUGUUAAACUUGGCUCUGCCCAUGACUAACUCCUCCCAGGCCACCUCCCAGUUUUCUCACCUGGAACAUGAGUGAAUCUUCUCGGUUCAUUCCCUGGCGGAAGAAGAGCAGUUCCAGCCCUCGAAUCCUUCAGAAUGUCUACUCAGCACUCCCUGGGCCACAAAGGACACGUGCCCUGGCUUCAUCUCUUCCGAGGCUGACUCUAAUGGAAAGAAAUCCUGCCGUCUCAGAGAGGUGUCCCAGCGCAAUGCAGGCAGAGGCUCUGGUGUCAGGAGCCCUGGGGCCCGUAUCAGGCUUGCUAGUCAUCAGUGUGUGCCUUGAGUGGUUUGCCUUUUUGGAGCCCAGGAUUUUUCAGGUGUAAAAAUGGGGAUAACACAUUGCCCCUCUUCCUGGAUGGUUCUGAGGAUGAAAUAAAGCCACCUGUGCAAAGUAUUGGACCCAU